rnacentral:rRNA from 1 species
AAUGCGAGACGUGACGUGAAUUGCAGGAUUUGCGAACGUUAAUUCUUCGAACGUACAUUGCAGCUUCAGGUCAAACUGAAGCUACGCCUGGUUGAGGGUCAGUUGAAAUAAACC